rnacentral:misc_RNA from 1 species
AACGCACAUUGCGCCCGCUGGUAUUCCGGCGGGCAUGCCUGUUCGAGCGUCAUUAUGACCAAUUAAGCUCUGCUUAGUUUUGAGGUCCGCUAUAUCAGCGGCCUUUAAAAUCAGUGGCGGUGCCGUCUGGCUCUAAGCGUAGUAAUACUUCUUGCUAUAGGGUUUAGUCGUCCACCGGUCAGAAUCUUCAACUUUCUUAGGUUGACCUCGGAUCAGGUAGGGAUACCCGCUGAACUUAA